GUUGAUGUCUACAGCUUUGGAAUUGUCUUAUGGGAGUUGCUGACCAACCGCAUGCCAUUUGAAGGCAUGUCAAAUUUGCAGGCUGCUUAUGCAGCUGCUUUUAAGCAAGGGAGGCCCAGUCUUCCAGAGGACAUGUCCCCUGAGCUUGCAUUUAUCAUUCAAUCAUGUUGGGUUGAAGACCCUAACUUGAGGCCCAGCUUCAGCCAGAUCAUCCGCAUGCUCAAUGCUUUCCUCUUUACCAUCUCUCCACCGG
rnacentral:misc_RNA from 1 species